UCUCUGUUCGGCGUUAUUAGGCUGUUGAGAAAAAGUUGAAGAGUCGCUGCGACGACGAAGCAAAACAAACAUAAAAACAGGAAAAAUGGGGGUCGUAGUUAGAGUCGAGUACUGCGGUGGAUGAGGGUACACGAGCCGCUUUCGGGUGCUUUUGCGGGCCAUUCAGGCAAAGUUUCCCGAUGCGGAUGUGUCGAGCUUCAUAGGGAGACGGAAUGCCUUUGAGGUUGAAGUCAACGGGCAGCUCGUCUUCUCCAAGCUUAAAUCCGGUCGAUUCCCAGAUGUGAGCGAGAUUCUGGACCAAAUCGAGGACGCCAACGACGGGCACGGUUUGGAAAAGACUCCGCUGUAAUCGACGAGAACGAAGCACAGACCACUAGCUGGGUUCUGUGCAAGUCGCCAACAUCUGGUGACAUCUGGCUCCUCUCUCUGCUCCAAUCAGGUCCUUCAGGCUGUCAAUGAUUACUGUAGCCUAAAAUCCUAAAGGUUAUGGUUUGAAUAAUCUAUUCCUGGAGUUCUUUUUAAAUAGGAACAGAGACGGGGAGAGUGUGUCGCAGAAAGGUUUGAGAGAACUUGUUCAUAUUUUGACGCCAUCUCGUUGCCUGGCAAUUUCCAGUAGUUCAUGAGCCUUAUUGAAACGAAGACGUAAAUAACUAACACCAUAAGCAUUCCUUUGAGAGCUGAUAAAUGUUUAUCGAGUUAUCUCAUCGUGAAUGGCCCACCUUAAAGUCCAAACUGCAGAUUUUGUAUCGUAAUCACUUGUUUACACACAAACUUAACACUACGGCAGAAACGACAUUCAGUUUUUACACUUGGUGUGUUUAUUCACAAAAUAAACACACCCGUUAAUGCCAACAAUUGAACGUGUUCCUGCAAAACGGUCAUUUCGAUAAAACGCCUCCACAACAGCUGUAUGGAGUUCAGUUUAAGAGUUUUCUCCACUGGCAGAAAUUAUUUUGAACAGGAAGCAUCUAGUCUGCUCUUUUAUUAUUAAAUUUAUGGUUGAACAGCCCACAUCUGGACAGCUUUAAUCACACUCGGGAAAUAACGAUGAGCGAUUCUUGUAAUGGCACUAGAGAGCGCCAAACUCAACAGACCUUGAGAUGUUGGAGUCAAAUUGGAGUUUAAUGUCAAAUUUAGUGUGCUGUUUGUAAAACUGUCAAAUGGAGUGUUUCCAUAAAUCACUGAACUGUAACUUGUCACUCGGGGUUCAUUCUUGUGCAAUGAAUAAAGUUCAAACGCAGGCAACAAA